GAUGAACGCUGGCGGCGUGCUUAACACAUGCAAGUCGAACGGAAAGGCCCAAGCUUGCUUGGGUACUCGAGUGGCGAACGGGUGAGUAACACGUGGGUGAUCUGCCCUGCACUUCGGGAUAAGCCUGGGAAACUGGGUCUAAUACCGGAUAGGACGAUGGUUUGGAUGCCAUUGUGGAAAGUUUUUUCGGUGUGGGAUGAGCUCGCGGCGUAUCAGCUUGUUGGUGGGGUAAUGGCCUACCAAGGCGUCGACGGGUAGCCGGCCUGAGAGGGUGUACGGCCACAUUGGGACUGAGAGACGGGCCAGACUCCUACGGGAGGCAGAAGUGGGGAAUAUUGCACAAUGGGCGCAAGCCUGAGGCAGCGACGCCGCGUGGGCGAUGACGGCCUUCGGGUGGUAAACUCCUUUCGCUAGGGACGAAGCGUUUUUGUGACGGUACCUGGAGAAGAAGCACCGGCUAACUACGUG
rnacentral:rRNA from 1 species